rnacentral:rRNA from 1 species
CCUACGGGUGGCUGCAGUGGGGAAUAUUGAACAAUGGGCGAAAGCCUGAUCCAGCCAUGCCGCGUGUGUGAAGAAGGCCUUCGGGUUGUAAAGCACUUUCAGUGGGGAAGAAAGCCUUGGGGCUAAUACCCUCGAGGAAGGACAUCACCCACAGAAGAAGCACCGGCUAACUCCGUGCCAGCAGCCGCGGUAAUACGGAGGGUGCGAGCGUUAAUCGGAAUUACUGGGCGUAAAGCGCGCGUAGGCGGUCUGAUAAGCCGGUUGUGAAAGCCCCGGGCUCAACCUGGGAACGGCAGCCGGAACUGUCAGGCUAGAGUGCAGGAGAGGAAGGUAGAAUUCCCGGUGUAGCGGUGAAAUGCGUAGAGAUCGGGAGGAAUACCAGUGGCGAAGGCGGCCUUCUGGACUGACACUGACGCUGAGGUGCGAAAGCGUGGGUAGCAAACAGGAUUAGAUACCCCGGUAGUC